GAUGAACGCUGGCGGCGUGCUUAACACAUGCAAGUCGAACGGGAAUUACUUUAUUGAAACUUCGGUCGAUUUCAUUUAAUUCUAGUGGCGGACGGGUGAGUAACGCGUGGGUAACCUGCCUUAUACAGGGGGAUAACAGUCAGAAAUGGCUGCUAAUACCGCAUAAGCGCACAGAGCUGCAUGGCUCGGUGUGAAAAACUCCGGUGGUAUAAGAUGGACCCGCGUUGGAUUAGCUUGUUGGUGGGGUAACGGCCCACCAAGGCGACGAUCCAUAGCCGGCCUGAGAGGGUGAACGGCCACAUUGGGACUGAGACACGGCCCAGACUCCUACGGGAGGCAGCAGUGGGGAAUAUUGCACAAUGGGGGAAACCCUGAUGCAGCGACGCCGCGUGAAGGAAGAAGUAUCUCGGUAUGUAAACUUCUAUCAGCAGGGAAGAUAGUGACGGUACCUGACUAAGAAGCCCCGGCUAACUACGUG
rnacentral:rRNA from 1 species